rnacentral:rRNA from 1 species
CCUACGGGUGGCAGCAGUGGGGAAUAUUGGGCAAUGGGCGCAAGCCUGACCCAGCAACGCCGCGUGAAGGAAGAAGGCUUUCGGGUUGUAAACUUCUUUUGUCAGGGACGAAGCACGUGACGGUACCUGACGAAUAAGCCACGGCUAACUACGUGCCCGCAGCCGCGGUAAUACGUAGGUGGCAAGCGUUAUCCGGAUUUAUUGGGUGUAAAGGGCGUGUAGGCGGGAAUGCAAGUCAGAUGUGAAAACUAUGGGCUCAACCCAUAGCCUGCAUUUGAAACUGUAGUUCUUGAGUGCGGGAGAGGCAAUCGGAAUUCCGGGUGUAGCGGUGAAAUGCGUAGAUAUACGGAGGAACACCAGUGGCGAAGGCGGAUUGCUGGACAGUAACUGACGCUGAGGCGCGAAAGCGUGGGGAGCAAACAGGAUUAGAUACCCGUGUAGUC